rnacentral:lncRNA from 1 species
ACCCAAGUGCAGGUUGUCGCAAGUAGUAAAUCUCGGAAGUCCGAGGUCGAACCACAGGGAAUUGGAAGGAAAUAAACUAUUCUAUGAGUAAUGAACGGUUGGUGGAAAUACGAUUGAGACGAACACUAGAGCAUCGGGGAUUCACUUUGGAUAAAUGAGUAGAAAUUGCACUUGAUCUUUAAUUUAACUCAUAUGAAAAUCAAAUAAAACAUUAACCACAAAUAUACUAAAAGAUAGAUCUUGAUAAUUGUUUGAGAGAAUAUGUCAAAAUAAGUUGUUGGUAUGUAGAGAUUAUCUAAGCAUUUAUUGUGCCAAAAUUGUCAACAAUAAAUCAAAGUCUUUAACAAACCAAAACCAUUUGUAGAACAUAUACUUCAACCAAGUAAGAAGAUGAACAUUGAAGAACAAAAUGAAAGAUCAAAGACAAUACUAAACAUUCAUCAAAGUUUCACCCCUAGCUCUAGCUAAAUGUUUAGAAAUACAUAGUGAAAUGUUACAAAGAAAAUGAAGGAAACUAGAAUAUGAUGGAGAGAAUUGAUGCUUCAAAAUCGUGGCCAAGGUCCCCUUUUA